rfam:Rhizoctonia solani AG-1 IA unplaced genomic scaffold scaffold47, whole genome shotgun sequence.
UUUGUAAUUUAACUUUUUGGGUUGAAUGACAAUAUCAGAAUGAGAACUGGAGAAAUUGCAAGAAAGACUUUAAUAAUACAAAGUUAACUUGCAGCCGAGUGCGAUAUGUGAAAUUUUAUUCUAUGGAGUAAAAAUGUAUCGUAAAGGUUCAACGACUAAUGGGUGAGUAUUCACAACAAUAAUCCCGACACGAAUUUCCAGCGCUAGUAAAUUAUAUUUACUAGUGAUGACAUAGUCUGAACAGUAGUGUGAACUACUG